AAGUGGUUAGCGAAAAAUGUUGCGAUGGCUUCUACAAAAGUUCAGAUGGUGAUUGUUCGGAAUGUCCAGAUGGCUCCUACGGUAAAAACUGUAGAUUUAAUUGUAUCGCUCCUUUUUAUGGAAAACUCUGUGAAAGUUUAUGUGAAUGCAAAAGGUGUCAUCAUAUUUACGGGUGUGGAGAGAAUUUAACAACAGAAAGGUUUAGCUUGUAUAGCACGAAACCUACGGUGACUAAAAAAUGGAUAAAAGAAAUUUCUUUAACAGAAAUCACGAAAGAAUGGAACAAAGAAGUUACUUCAGCAAAAUAUGAAAAAGAAAAAGAAUCUGCAUUUUCUAUGGAGCAGGUUAUAGUUAUAAUAGUAGCAUCAUCAGCCAGUACUGUGGUGUCUAUGGUAAUUGUUAUUAUUUUCGUCUUGAUACUUAGAAGACUGUUGUGUGAAAAACAACGUUCUGGUCGUGCAGGGACUUUUAACGAAGCUAUAUUCACCAAUAAUGACAUAAGAUCACAGCUACCAACUCCCCAAGAACAUUUUAUUAAUACCCAGACAAGUGCCAUUCCUGAGUCCCAAUAUGAAACAGUUGACGAAUCAAACAUGAUAGAAAUCUCAGGCAUAAGAAUAGGUGAAGAAAGAUCGGCUUUACGCAACACGCAUAUCUCUAGUUCAAGCUGUGACAGCAAAACAUCUAAUGCCAGUGGAGUUGCAUCUGAGGAUACUGAAGGUUACCUCCAUCCAUACAAUACUCUACAAGAGAAUUGGCAAAAUAAAUGUUAUCAGUACAGUUCAUGCAGUCACAACUCUUAAACAACAAAUAACGACAGAAGGGAUAUCAACAAAAACUUCCAAUUUCAUACCAUCAAAAUAUACAUUAAAGAUAUAUUGCAGAUGGUCAAAACAUUAAAGUAGACACGUGUUGUUCGUUUAUUGUAUUUUUA